rnacentral:rRNA from 1 species
UACGUAGGGUGCAAGCGUUGUCCGGAAUUAUUGGGCGUAAAGAGCUCGUAGGCGGUUGUCGCGUCUGCUGUGAAAACUCGGGGCUUAACCCCGGGCCUGCAGUGGGUACGGGCAGACUAGAGUGCGGUAGGGGAGACUGGAAUCCUGGUGUAGCGGUGAAAUGCGCAGAUAUCAGGAGGAACACCGGUGGCGAAGGCGGGCUCUGGGCCGUAACUGACGCUGAGGAGCGAAAGCGUGGGGAGCGAACAGG